rnacentral:rRNA from 1 species
AGAGUUUGAUCCUGGCUCAGGAUGAACGCUGGCGGCGUGCCUAAUACAUGCAAGUCGAGCGAACGGACGAGAAGCUUGCUUCUCUGAUGUUAGCGGCGGACGGGUGAGUAACACGUGGAUAACCUACCUAUAAGACUGGGAUAACUUCGGGAAACCGGAGCUAAUACCGGAUAAUAUUUUGAACCGCAUGGUUCAAAAGUGAAAGACGGUCUUGCUGUCACUUAUAGAUGGAUCCGCGCUGCAUUAGCUAGUUGGUAAGGUAACGGCUUACCAAGGCAACGAUGCAUAGCCGACCUGAGAGGGUGAUCGGCCACACUGGAACUGAGACACGGUCCAGACUCCUACGGGAGGCAGCAGUAGGGAAUCUUCCGCAAUGGGCGAAAGCCUGACGGAGCAACGCCGCGUGAGUGAUGAAGGUCUUCGGAUCGUAAAACUCUGUUAUUAGGGAAGAACAUAUGUGUAAGUAACUGUGCACAUCUUGACGGUACCUAAUCAGAAAGCCACGGCUAACUACGUGCCAGCAGCCGCGGUAAUAC